AUGGAGAUCACUCCUUCACUGGCACUAAUCCUUGUUCGGGUGGCCGCUGGCGAUGCGGAGAAGCUGGCCCGGCUGCGCGAGAUAUGCUCGUGGUUCCGUGACCCGACGAUGCUCUACGAGGAGGCGAUCGGCAUCGCCGGUUGUCUUGUGGACGAGGAGAAGGCCACCAUGCGCCUGAACCAUGAUUUUCCAGUGGAGUACCUCUAUUGGGCGACGAUGGAUGCGGAGAGUGACGAUCCGGUGCAGAGGUACCGCUGGAGGGCCUACAAGUCUAGCCUGUAUGGCGAUGGAGCGAGUCAUGGCGCUGGCCAGGGCGCUGAUCAGGGCGGCCACGGCGUUGACGAUGGUGUUGGCCAUGGCAUGGCUCUGGACGUGGCUGGUCAUGGCGAAGCGACAUGCGUCAUCGCUCUCCCUGCUGCCUCGUCAUUCAAUCUGCAUAGGAGGAGGCUGCAUGCAAAGGAGGUGGCCCUACCUCAUCGCUCUCCCCCCCUUCUCCCGCCGCUCUCCGAGGAAUGCACGCUCCACCGAGGUGCAGUAGAGAUGGAAGUACAAAGAAGUGCAAAAUGGAUUGAAGAAGUGGAAGAGCCUGCAAGCUGA
rnacentral:rRNA from 1 species